GCUUGUCUCAAAGAUUAAGCCAUGCAUGUCUAAGUAUAAGCAAUUAUACAGCGAAACUUGCGAAUGGCUCAUUAUAUAAGUUAUCGUUUAUUUGAUAGUACCUUACUACUUGGAUAACCGUGGUAAUUCUAGAGCUAAUACAUGCUAAAAAUCCCGACUUCGGAAGGGAUGUAUUUAUUAGAUUAAAAACCAAUGCCCUCUGGGCUCCUUGGUGAUUCAUAAUAACUUUUCGAAUCGCAUGGCCUUGCGCCGGCGAUGGUUCAUUCAAAUUUCUUCCCUAUCAACUUUCGAUGUUUGGGUAUUGGCCAAACAUGGUCGCAACGGGUAACGGAGGGUUAGGGCUCGACCCCGGAGAAGGAGCCUGAGAAACGGCUACUACAUCCAAGGAAGGCAGCAGGCGCGCAAAUUACCCAAUCCCGAUUCGGGGAGGUAGUGACAAUAAAUACUGAUACAGGGCUCUUUUGGGUCUUGUAAUUGGAAUGAGUACAAUUUAAAUCCCUUAACGAGGAACAAUUGGAGGGCAA
rnacentral:rRNA from 1 species